GGUGUGUACACACUGGAUGAAAUCCAAUCAAACAAGUUUCUGUAAUGAAGUGUGUAUGCGUUUAAUUAAGGCCAAUCGCUUUCGACAAUGGGGAACUUGAACAUUUUUUUAAUUUCUUUAAUAUAUUUGCCUAUUUAUAGAAAUCUCGCAUACCAAAUAUCUGCCCUCAAAUCGCAAUAUUUAAGUUGCAAUAAAAAAUUAAAGUUUUGACAGCAGGCUAUUCAUUUGAAACGACACUAAACGCGCGGGAAUGGUCGUGACGUCAUAUCGCUGGUUACGGCACUAUAAAAGGUAGCAGACUUGUCCGCCAUUGUGGAGCCCAAUUUUUGACAUUUCUCAUUUAUUUGUGAAUGGUGCUCUGAAUUUCUGAAUAAUCAUUCAAGAAAUGGUUUUAAAUUUCAUAGUUCAUAAUGGUAAUAUAUUACAAAUGUAUCAUAAAUAUAAUCUUUUGGUUGGUUGAUUAAAACGUAGCCUUCAUCAUUUAUCUAAAUUAAUUGUCAUAAGUUCCCUGCUGAUCCGGAUAGACGGAAAAAAUGGUUAGUAAACUGCAGAAGACAGGAUUGGAAUCCCACCCAAAAUGACCGAUUGUGCUCUGUAAGUGUUUAUAAAAUAUAUAGCUUUAA